CCAUACAGCUAGUUUUAGCCUUUAAGAGAAGGAUUCGAGCCCUAUCCCGUCUGAUCUCGGAAGCUAAGCAGGAUCGGGCCUGCUUAGUACUUGAAUGGAAGAUCACCUAGGAAGACCGGGUGCUGUAGGCU
ensembl:rRNA 5S_rRNA 5S ribosomal RNA